rnacentral:rRNA from 1 species
CCCUAUUAUUAGUAAGGUGAUAUUAAUUAAUAUAUAUUGAAAUUUAAUGAUUUUGGCGGUUGAUUAUUAAUUGGAGGAGCUUGUAUUUUGGUAGAAUUAGCUCUUUAUAUUUAAAUAAUUUAAAAUUUAUUCAUCUCCGUUAUUAAAUAAUAAAUUUAAAUAUAUGUAUAUAUGUAUACUUUGUAGUAUUUCAGGUCAAGAUGUAGUUUUAAUUGUAAAAUAUUAGCUACAUUAAUAUAUUAAUUGAAUUAUUUUAAUUGAAGGAUUUCUGAUAGGAAAUUGAAUUUAAUUGUAAUUAUAAUUAAAGUUUUAUAAUGAAUAGGAAUGGUUAAUGU